GGGCGUAAAGAGCUCGUAGGCGGUUCGAUAAGUCGGGUGUGAAACCUCCAGGCUCAACCUGGAGACGCCACCCGAUACUGUCGUGACUAGAGUCCAGUAGGGGAGCGUGGAAUUCCUGGUGUAGCGGUGAAAUGCGCAGAUAUCAGGAGGAACACCAGCGGCGAAGGCGGCGCUCUGGGCUGGAACUGACGCUGAGGAGCGAAAGCGUGGGGAGCGAACAGGAUUAGAUACCCUGGUAGUCCACGCCGUAAACGUUGGGUACUAGGUGUGGGGUCUUAUCAACGGAUUCCGUGCCGAAGCUAACGCAUUAAGUGCCCCGCCUGGGGAGUACGGCCGCAAGGCUAAAACUCAAAGGAAUUGACGGGGGCCCGCACAAGCGGCGGAGCAUGCGGCUUAAUUCGAUGCAACGCGAAGAACCUUACCUAGGCUUGACAUAUACCGAAAACUCGUAGAGAUACGGGGUCCGCAAGGGCGGUAUACAGGUGGUGCAUGGUUGUCGUCAGCUCGUGUCGUGAGAUGUUGGGUUAAGUCCCGCAACGAGCGCAACCCUCGUCCUAUGUUGCCAGCGGAUAAUGCCGGGGACUCAUAGGAGACUGCCGGGGUCAACUCGGAGGAAGGUAAU
rnacentral:rRNA from 1 species